CCCCCCCGCCCCCCCCGCUGCCCCCCCCGUUAUUGGGUGGGCCAGGACGUCCUGGCCCGCUGGACCGACGGCCUCCUCUACCUGGGCACCAUCAAAAAGGUGGAUCCCGGCCGCCGUGGUUGCCUGGUCCAGUUCGAGGACAAUUCCCAGUUCCUGGUCCUAUGGAAGGACAUCAGCCCAGCUGCGGUGCCAGGGGAGGACCAAUCCUGCUGCGUCUGCUCCAGCCGGGUCCUGAGCCCCCAGAACCUCCUGGUCCGGUGCUCCAAGUGCGGCCAUGGUUGGUGCCCCCCUU